UUUCCGUAGGUGAACCUGCGGAAGGAUCAUUAAAAAAUUGGACUCCAUUGGUGAGUUCAUUAAUAAUCCUACCCUUUGUGAAUUUGUUUGUUUGAAUAAUUUUUUUCCAAAAAAAAUUAUUGAAUGUCUUUCCCUGUUUUGGUGGAGCUUGUAAAGUGAAACCAGGCAGGGGAAUGGCAAACAAUAAUUAUUUUUGAAAAAGACCUUUUUAAAAUUAAACUUUUUGUAUUCAUUUGUCUAAAAUUAUUUUUAUAAUAUAAAAACAACUUUUGACAAUGGAUCUCUUGGUUCUCGCAACGAUGAAGAACGCAGCAAAAUGCGAUAAGUAGUGUGAAUUGCAGAAUACGUGAAUCAUCGAAUCUUCGAACGCAUAUUGCACUUUUUUAGUUUACUAAAAAAGUAUGUCUGUUUGAGUAUCAGUAAAAUAUUCUCAUAAAAAAUUUAUUUUUUAUGGUUAUGAGUGUUUUACAACGAUAACAAGUUGUUUCACUUUAAUUCUUUGUUAUCAAAAAAAUCAUUAAAAGCUAAUUUUAAGAUUUUUUAAAAUUGGAUAAAAUUUUCCGUAAAAGGAAUAACCUAAACAAUUUUAAAAAAUUAAAAUUGGUUUGAUUUUUCUUGAUUUAAAAGGAAAAAAAAGUAAAAAUUAACUUGAUCUCAAAUCAGAUAAGAGUACCCGCUGAACUUAAGCAUAUCAAUAAGCGGAGGAAAAGAAACUAACUAGGAUUCCCUCAGUAACGGCGAGUGAAGCGGGAAGAGCUCAAAUUUGAAAUCUUCAGGGUUUUACCUUGACGAAUUGUAGUUUAAAGAAGUGUUUUCUGUUGGAGUUUUGGUAAAAGUUCUUUGGAAAAGGACAUCAUAGAGGGUGAGAAUCCCGUAUUUGACCAUUAUCUCCAGCUUUGUGAUACACUUUCAAAGAGUCGGAUUGUUAGGGAAUGCAGUCCAAAAUGGGUGGUAAAUUUCAUCUAAAGCUAAAUACUGGCGAGAGACCGAUAGCGAACAAGUACCGUGAGGGAAAGAUGAAAAGAACCUUGAAAAGAGAGUUAAACAGUACGUGAAAUUGUCAAAAGGGAAGCGUUUGACACCAGUGUUGUUUUCUCGAAAAUCAAUUAAAAAAGGCCGGAUUUUGUGUUGUAUUGACUUUAUCAGCUUUCUGCACUUUUUUCUUGUCUUUUUUAAUGCACUUUUCGUUUAACAAGUCAACAUCAAUUUCUUUUGUUGUAAAAGGGUCAUUGGAAGGUGGCUUUCUUUUCGGAGAAAGUGUUUAUAGCCUUUGGCCUCUGCAAUCGGAGAGAUUGAGGUCUGCAGCGUAGAUCCUUCGGGGUUAGAUACAUUUGUGCUAAGUUAUAGCCUUUCAUAGACAACUUGUUGACUAUGAUCAGUCAUGUAGCUUACUCGCUUAUGCUAUUU
rnacentral:misc_RNA from 1 species